rnacentral:rRNA from 1 species
GGUUAAGUUAGAAAGGGCGCACGGUGGAUGCCUUGGCACUAGGAGCCGAAGAAGGACGGGACUAACACCGAUAUGCUUUGGGGAGCUGUACGUAAGCGUUGAUCCAGAGAUUUCCGAAUGGGGGAACCCACUAUCUUUAGUCGGAUAGUAUCCUUACGUGAAUACAUAGCGUGAGGAAGGCAGACCCAGGGAACUGAAACAUCUAAGUACCUGGAGGAAGAGAAAGAA